AAAUGAAUUUAUUCAUUCUAUAACAGGCCUACAUGCAAGAAUCACAUAUUAGCUGAACUGGAUACAAACAUAGAUCUAGAGAGAGAUAGAAAUCAAAUGAUGUUUCAGAAGCUAAAGGUUUUCUCUGAACAGUAAAAUGUAAAGAACAGUAAAACUCCAGUUGCAUGUUAAAGCUGAUGGCAGUUUGGUGCUUUUCCCUUAAAAAGAUGCAGAAAAUUUGCUGAGCAGCUGAAUAAAUUCAGCAAAUAUUGAAGCCAAUAACCUUCAAAAUCUCCCUAAAGAACUAGCAUACAAAAAUCAGUUCUCUCUUUAAAUGAAGACAAAACGUAAAGAAGAACUUGACAUCUUUAGAAAUUAAAUUUAGAAUAUUUGUUGUGGAUUUUCAUGCUUGACUUUUCCUCUAUUGCACCCUUUUGUUUUCAUUUCAAUCUUUUAAAGAAUGAUCAGCUUCCCCACAUUGAUGACGUCAGCAUUAUGUUUUCAUAAUUCACUUAAGCUUUAGCUCUACACCUAUAAUAUAUUCUUGCAAAAUGCCUGCAGUUAAAACUACAUGGAGUUAAUGUUGCUCUGCUUUUUAAUGAGUAACAUGCAGGCUAGGUAACUUGUCUGGACAGGACGUUUCCGACAGAAGCUUUAAAGGUUUGCAGCCUGUUAAAAGCUCUUCUGGAAUCUGAAAAUCUAUGAAGCAGUGAAUAAAUCACAUUUUGCACAAAAGGCUGGAAAUAUAAGCAGGAGGGAAGAAUGAGAAAUUUUCAUGAAAAGAAAAAAGAAAAAGCUACCGUUUCUUCAGCUUUGCAGCAUUUCCCGUUAUGAGUUUCAUACAUUCUUUUCUUGCUAAAAAGAAUGUAUGAAACUGAAGUUAGUGACAAAAUCUUUUCAAAGAUGAAAAUAUCUCAACAAUCUGAUGAUUCUGGUAGGUUUGUGAGAAAUUCUUUAUUUGUGAAAUGCAAUUAACCUUUUAUUUUUUAAAGUUACAAUUACUAUAAAUAUCACAAAAUAUAUUUGUUAAAAUAACUACAGUUUGCUUUCAAAUAACUUUUUUAAAUAGAUCUCUUACUGGAUAACAUUAAAAUGUGUUUAUUCUGCUCUAGCUGUAGAUACAACUUUACAAUCACGUGUAUAAUAAUGUAUUUAGAAAGGCUCAGUGGACUUCCUCAGGCUUGUCUUUGCAGGUUCUGCACAUUUCGAGCUGAUAAAUACUCACUAUUUUAGAAUUGUUAUAGCAUUUGGUGGUAUAGAAACAAAAACAAGGACAUGGAACAGUUUCAUUAAAGCAGAAAGGCAGAUUAUCACUAAAAUAGAAAAAACACAACUUUAGUAUAAAAACUAAAUUAGGAUAUUUCACUACAAGGAGUGUCUAUUACAUUUUUAAUGUUUGUAUAGUUUCUCCACAACAAAUUUAAACCA